rnacentral:rRNA from 1 species
CCUACGGGUGGCAGCAGUGGGGAAUAUUGGGCAAUGGACGCAAGUCUGACCCAGCAACGCCGCGUGAAGGAAGAAGGCUUUCGGGUGGUAAACUUCUGUUAAGGGGGAAGAGCAGAAGACGGUACCCCUUGAAUAAGCCACGGCUAACUACGUGCCAGCAGCCACGGUAAUACGUAGGUGGCAAGCGUUGUCCGGAUGUACUGGGUGGAAAGGGCGGGCAGCCGGAGAGGCAAGUCAGAUGUGACAUCCGCGGGCUCAAAUCGCGAACUGCAUUUGAAACUGCUUCCCUUGAGUAUCGGAGAGGUAAUCGGAAUUCCUAGUGUAGCGGUGAAAUGCGUAGAUAUUAGGAAGAACACCAGUGGCGAAGGCGGAUUACUGGACGACAACUGACGGUGAGGCGCGAAAGCGUGGGGAGCAAACAGGAUUAGAUACCCCUGUAGUC